UUCCAUGGCGCACCGCAUUUCUCCGCCCGCGUCGCUGCCCCUCCAUGGCGCCGCCCCUCCCUUCCUCUCGCUCCCCACCACCACCGUCCUCCCCACGAGUAUCCCCUUCUUCCUGUCACCCCGGUAGACACGUCUUCGAGAUCAAAUGUCGCAUUUUUAUGCUCCGGCGCUCGAUCUGCAUGUGGUGCCGCUACACCUGCGUGCGCUGGCCCUCGAUCUGCUCAAAUGCGGAGAGAAUAGGGAGCAGCGGAUUUGUAAGUGGCGCCGGAGUGGCAGGAAGACGGCGCCCUCCUCGUGGAGGAGGGCGACCGCUCCGUGGCCGCUGACCUUCGUCUCUGCGCGAUGGCCGCUCUCUGAGAGCAAUCGCCGCGUCGAGCGCCGAGGUGCCCGCGAUUCCUCUCUGAGAGGCCAUAGCGAGGUUUGAUUUGUACGAGAACAACAGCGGCACUUGCGUGGCCGUCGCGGGGCCGCGGGGGCCGAUUACUGCAUCGUCGCCGCCGACACCCGCCUCUCCGUCCGAUACAGCAUCCUGUCCCGCGGCCACUCCAAGAUCGUGCAGCUGCUGGCCCAGUAAUUUGAUUGACGUGAAGAUUAAGGUUAGAAGAGAUGGGAGAUGGGGCUCAGGAACGAAGCUGGGGCAGGCAGCGAUGGAGGCCAGAAGAGAUGGGAGAUGGGGGAAGGAAAUGGCACAGGUCGAACAUAGGUGGUGGGCAGCGACCGCGGAUAGAAGAAUGGGAAAAAGUGCUUACAAGAGGGUGCUUGUUGGUGUAGAGCGUGGUAGAACUGUUCCAAAUUGGCAUUCUAGGAGAUUGGGUGGUGGUCUUGGAUCAAGCAGGAUUGGUGGUGUAGAUGCUGCCUAAAAGCAUUCUUCUAGGUGCCUUGCCUGGGAGUAGCUGCCUUGCCAGAGUAGGUGCCUUGCCGGAGUAGCUGUCGUGCCGGAGUAGCUGGGGCGGAGGUGCUGGACAGGGACGGAGGUGCUGGCUGGGGGCGGAG